AUUGAACGCUGGCGGCAGGCCUAACACAUGCAAGUCGAACGAGUGGCGGACGGGUGAGUAAUGUCUGGGAAACUGCCUGAUGGAGGGGGAUAACUACUGGAAACGGUAGCUAAUACCGCAUACCAUCAGAUGUGCCCAGAUGGGAUUAGCUAGUGGGUGGGGUAACGGCUACCCAGGGCGACGAUCCCUAGCUGGUCUGAGAGGAUGACCGGCCCCACUGGAACGGAGCAAGGGUCAGGACUCCUACGGAAGGCAGCAGUGGGGAAUAUUGCACAAUGGGCGCAAGCCUGAUGAAGCCAUGCGGCGUGUAUGAAGAAGGCCUGCGGGUUGUAAAGUACUUUGAGCGGGGAGGCGUUACCCGAAGAAGAAGCACCGGCUAACUCCGUGCCAGCAGCCGCGGUAAUAC
rnacentral:rRNA from 1 species